rnacentral:rRNA from 1 species
GACGAACGCUGGCGGCGUGCCUAACACAUGCAAGUCGAACGCUGAAUAGAGGAGCUUGCUCUUCUCGGAUGAGUUGCGAACGGGUGAGUAACGCGUAGGUAACCUGCCUUGUAGCGGGGGAUAACUAUUGGAAACCAUAGCUAAUACCGCAUAACACUGGAUGACACAUGUCAUUUAUUUGAAAGGGGCAAUUGCUCCACUACAAGAUGGACCUGCGUUGUAUUAGCUAGUAGGUGAGGUAACGGCUCACCUAGGCGACGAUCAUAGCCGACCUGAGAGGGUGAUCGGCCACACUGGAACUGAGACACGGCCCAGACUCCUACGGGAGGCAGCAGUAGGGAAUCUUCGGCAAUGGGGGCAACCCUGGCCGAGCAACGCCGAAAGAGUGAUGAAGGUUUUCGGAUCGUAAAGCUCUGUUGUAAGUCAAGAACGAGUGUGAGAGUGGAAAGUUCACACUGUGACGGCUCUUACCAAAAAGGGACGGCUAACUACGUGCCAGCAGCCGCGGUAAUACGUAGGUCCCGAGCGUUGUCCGGAUUUAUUGGGCGUAAAGCGAGCGCAGGCCGUUUGAUAAGUCUGAAGUUAAAGGCUGUGGCUCAGCCAUAGUUCGCUUUGGAUACUGUCCUACUUGAGUGCAGAAGAGGAGAGUGUAAUUCCAUGUGUAGCGAUGAGAUGCGUAGAUGUAUGGAGGAACACCGGUGGCGAAAGCGGCUCUCUGUUCUGUAACUGAUGCUGAGGCUCGAAAGCGUGGGGAGCGAACAGG